UGCUUCAACAUGGUUAAGACAUUGAUAUUUAUGAAGAAGGAUCUAUUCUUAAUGGCAACAAAUUUCUUAAUGUCAUUAGAGAGAAGCUCUAGAGAAGAUGACUUCAAAAUUCUCGUUCUCCUGGGAAUAACUAAAAAGAAGGCAAAAGUCUAGCCUGGUUGAGCUGUGCAGGAGUUGAGGAAAUCGAGGCAUAGAGAAGUUAAAGAAACUGUUCGAGUUUGCAAGCACAGAGUAUUUGAGUUGGUUGAGAAUCCAACCCUGCCACUACAUCCUACUGACCUUCCCAUGAUAUUGCACUGCCUAAAAUGAGAGCCUAAAAGAAACAGAGAAACUGCUAAAAAUAAAAGAAAAUAUUCAAAGGUGACUUGAGUUCAGCUACUCAGUACUUUUUGAAUUACUGUCUUUUCAACUCCAGAAACCUUCUAAAUUAAAAGCUGGCAUU